CCCCCUUUAAACAUCCACGUUCAUAUAGGAAUCUACGGAACACAGUCAUGGAGUUUUCAAGGUAGAUACAUAUGAUGUUGUGUCAGGGUCAUGAGAAGUCUCGUUCUAAACUAACUCGAGAAAGAACAUGUUUUGCCUCUCUACUGAAAACAAGAGAACAACAUUUACGUACUCCAGAAGGACAAUUGACUACUAUUUGCUCUAUAUGAGGUAACCAGCGCCUAGCAGGGGAUCUGCCUGAUGAACCAGCGGAUGACCUUGACGGGCAUCUGGACGAGGCCCACCGCCAGGUUCGCCGCUGCCGCGCAGCACACGCAGCACGGGCACACGCAGCUCAGCGCCGACCUACGAAAAAUAAAGGAGUUCAGCGACAGACUCAUCACGUUAUGGUGGUUGACAAAAGCCGAAGCAGAGAAGCCAAUGUCGCAAGCAACCAGGAGUUCUGGCUGGCAUGCACCAGGGAGUAGCCAGGAAGAGACGCGCACGCACCCGAGGAUCCAGACGACGGCGCCGGCGAGCGAGAGCACUAACGCGAGGGCGGCGAACGGCAGGCCGAUCAGGAGCCCCAGCGGCCGGCACUGCCAGCCGUCGUCGUCGUGACCAUCUGCCCCCAUCGUCGAUCUCCGGCUUCUCCAGCCAGUUGUUCUUCCGCAGCGUCCUACGUAGGUGCCUGCGUGCGUGUGGGAAACUGGGAACUGGGAAGUCCGAAACCGAAACCAAACGGUUGGUAAAUAACGCUGUGAAUUGAACUCGAACUGUCAGCACCGAGUACGUGGGCGCGGGGGGACUCCAC
rnacentral:lncRNA from 1 species